rnacentral:rRNA from 1 species
AGUGAACGCUGGCGGUAGGCCUAACACAUGCAAGUCGAACGGCAGCACAGUAAGAGCUCGCUCUUACGGGUGGCGAGUGGCGGAUGGGUGAGGAAUACAUCGGAAUCUACUUUUUCUUGGGUGAUAACGUAGGGAAACUUACGCUAAUACCGCAUACGACCUACGGGUGAAAGCAGGGGAUCUUCGGACCUUGCGUGAUUGAAUGAGCCGAUGUCGGAUUAGCUAGUUGGCGGGGUAAAGGCCCACCAAGGCGACGAUCCGUAGCUGGUCUGAGAGGAUGAUCAGCCACACUGGAACUGAGACACGGUCCAGACUCCUACGGGAGGCAGCAGUGGGGAAUAUUGGACAAUGGGCGAAAGCCUGAUCCAGCCAUGCCGCGUGGGUGAAGAAGGCCUUCGGAUUGUAAAGCCCUUUUAUUGGGGAAGAAAAGCAGCAGGUUAAUCCCCCGCUGUUCUGACGGUACCAAAAGAAUAAGCACCGGCUAACUUCGUG